CGCGGUAAUACGGAGGAUGCGAGCGUUAUCCGGAUUUAUUGGGUUUAAAGGGUGCGUAGGCGGCUUUUUAAGUCAGCGGUGAAAUUUUGCAGCUUAACUGUAACAGUGCCGUUGAUACUGAGGAGCUAGGAUUUGGUUGCUGUGGGUGGAAUGUGUGGUGUAGCGGUGAAAUGCUUAGAGAUCACACAGAAUAUCGAUUGCGAAGGCAGCUCACAAAGCCAAGAUUGACGCUGAGGCACGAAAGUGUGGGGAUCAAACAGGAUUAGAUACCCUGGUAGUCCACACUGUAAACGAUGAUAACUCGCUGUCGGCGAUACACAGUCGGUGGCCAAGCGAAAGCGAUAA
rnacentral:rRNA from 1 species